rnacentral:rRNA from 1 species
GUGGGGAAUAUUGGACAAUGGGCGCAAGCCUGAUCCAGCCAUGCCGCGUGAGUGAUGAAGGCCCUAGGGUUGUAAAGCUCUUUCACCGGAGAAGAUAAUGACGGUAUCCGGAGAAGAAGCCCCGACUAACUUCGUGCGAGCAGCCGCGGUAAUACGAAGGGGGCUAGCGUUGUUCGGAAUUACUGGGCGUAAAGCGCACGUAGGCGGACAUUUAAGUCAGGGGUGAAAUCCCGGGGCUCAACCCCGGAACUGCCUUUGAUACUGGGUGUCUGGAGUAUGGAAGAGGUAAGUGGAAUUCCGAGUGUAGAGGUGAAAUUCGUAGAUAUUCGGAGGAACACCAGUGGCGAAGGCGGCUUACUGGUCCAUUACUGACGCUGAGGUGCGAAAGCGUGGGGAGCAAACAGGAUUAGAAACCCUAGUAGUCC